rnacentral:rRNA from 1 species
GUAGUAAUGUCUGGGAAACUGCCCGAUGGAGGGGGAUAACUACUGGAAACGGUAGCUAAUACCGCAUAACGUCUUCGGACCAAAGUGGGGGACCUUCGGGCCUCACACCAUCGGAUGUGCCCAGAUGGGAUUAGCUAGUAGGUGGGGUAAUGGCUCACCUAGGCGACGAUCCCUAGCUGGUCUGAGAGGAUGACCAGCCACACUGGAACUGAGACACGGUCCAGACUCCUACGGGAGGCAGCAGUGGGGAAUAUUGCACAAUGGGCGCAAGCCUGAUGCAGCCAUGCCGCGUGUAUGAAGAAGGCCUUCGGGUUGUAAAGUACUUUCAGUGGGGAGGAAGGCGUUAAGGUUAAUAGCCUUGACGAUUGACGUUACCCGCAGAAGAAGCACCGGCUAACUCCGUGCCAGCAGCCGCGGUAAUACGGAGGGUGCAAGCGUUAAUCGGAAUUACUGGGCGUAAAGCGCACGCAGGCGGUCUGUCAAGUCGGAUGUGAAAUCCCCGGG